UACGUAGGGGGCAAGCGUUGUCCGGAAUCAUUGGGCGUAAAGCGCGUGUAGGCGGUUCGAUAAGUCUGCUGUGAAAGUCCAGGGCUCAACCCUGGGAUGCCGGUGGAUACUGUCGAGCUAGAGUACGGAAGAGGCGAGUGGAAUUCCCGGUGUAGCGGUGAAAUGCGCAGAUAUCAGGAAGAACACCGAUGGCGAAGGCAGCUCUCUGGGACGGUACUGACGCUGAGACGCGAAAAGCGUGGGGGAGCGAACAGG
rnacentral:rRNA from 1 species